rnacentral:rRNA from 1 species
UCCCAUCAGAACUCCGCAGUUAAGCGUGCUUGGGCUAGGGUUGUACUGGGAUGGGUGACCUCUCGGGAAGUCCUAGUGUUGCACCCUC